rnacentral:rRNA from 1 species
AUUGAACGCUGGCGGUAUGCUUAACACAUGCAAGUCGAACGGCAGCAUGGUCUAGCUUGCUAGACUGAUGGCGAGUGGCGGACGGGUGAGUAACGCGUAGGAAUAUGCCUUGAAGAGUGGGACAACUUGGGGAAACUCAAGCUAAUACCGCAUGUACUCGAGAGAGUAAAGCUGGGGACCUUUAGGCCUGGCGCUUUAAGAUUAGCCUGCGUCCGAUUAGCUAGUUGGUAGGGUAAAGGCCUACCAAGGCGACGAUCGGUAGCUGGUCUGAGAGGAUGAUCAGCCACACUGGAACUGAGAGUCGGUCCAGACUCCUACGGGAGUCAGCAGUGGGGAAUAUUGGACAAUGGGGGGAACCCUGAUCCAGCGAUGCCGCGUGUGUGAAGAAGGCCUGAGGGUUGUAAAGCACUUUCAGUGGGGAGGAGGUUUGGAAGGUUAAGAGCUAUUCAAAUGGACGUUACCCACAGAAGAAGCACCGGCUAACUCCGUGCCAGCCGCCGCCGUAA